GCCUGGAGUAACGUUCUGUGGUCUGGAAGUUCGAUCUGAAGUUCCAUAAAAUGGUGGCUGUUUCAAGGUUGUGAGAGUGAUACGAUGGUCACCAUGAGUCGGAGCAGAAGACCCCGUGUUUCCCCAAGAGAGGAGGCCAACAAAUGGUGUGGAAUUGGAUCUGACCAGGAAGGAUUUGAAAUAAAGUUCAUCAAUAAAUCUAUAGGCUAUGGACUUUACACAACAAGGCAGUUUGAGAAGGACAGCUUUCUCCUAGAAUAUAGGGGUGUGCUAAGUGUAGCAUCUGAGGACACUGAAAACGAAGAAUACACCUUUCAUUUCAAGCAUCAGGGGGCUGA